GUGCAGCAGUCGCGAAAACUCCGCAAUACGCGAAAGCGUGACGGGGCUACCCCGAGUGUCGUCCGCUGAGGACGACUUUUCCACGCUGUAAGGAGGCAUGGGAAUAAGGAGAGGGCAAGUCUGGUGUCAGCCGCCGCGGUAAUACCAGCUCUCCGAGUGGUAGGGACGAUUAUUGGGCUUAAAGCGUCCGUAGCCGGCUCAGCAAGUCUCCCGUUAAAUCCAACGAUUCAAUCGUUGGACUGCGGGAGAUACUGUUGAGCUAGGAGGCGGGAGAGGCCAGCGGUAUUCCCGGGGUAGGGGUGAAAUCCUAUAAUCCCGGGAGGACCACCAGUGGCGAAGGCUGUUGGCUAGAACACGCCCGACGGUGAGGGAUGAAAGCUGGGGGAGCGAACCGGAUUAGAUACCCCUGAGUCC
rnacentral:rRNA from 1 species